rnacentral:tRNA from 1 species
GUCCUUGUCGAUUAGUGGUUAGAUCAUCACGUUGUGGUUCACGCAAAUCCGUGAAGACGGAGGCUCGAAUCCUCCCUGGGACA